GGAGCCAAUCGGAACUCGCGGCGGGGCUGCUGGGUCUUCCAGGAGCGCGCUUGAGCGGACGCUGCCUACCGGUGGCCGGGCGGGAUGUAACCCGCUGCUGAGCUGGCAGCUCUGUGUCGCUAGGCUUCGGCCCGGCCGCCGCCGCACAUAAGCUGCGAGGAGGAGCUUUACGACUUCCCGGUCUUCGGGGCCGGGCGCAGCAAGGGCCAGACUCUGCGCUAGCAGGCGCUGCGCGCCAACCGGCCGGCACCUGUCGCAGAAGGUGCAACCGAUCGCACUGUCGCGCCGAAGCUCCUCAAUGGCCAGCGCCAGCUGCAGCCCCGGCCGCCCACUCGCCUCACCUGAGCCUGGGAGCUUGAAAAAUCACAUUUGAGAAGAGGAUUGGAUCCUAGCCAUAACAUAAAUAUAAGGGUGGAACCAAAGUUUUAAUCAAAGAAGGUGGUGUUCAGUUGCUGCUUACAAUAGUUGAUACCCCAGGAUUUGGAGAUGCAGUGGAUAACAGUAAUUGCUGGCAGCCUGUUAUCAAUUACAUUGAUAUUAAAUUUGAGGACUACCUAAAUGCAGAAUCGCGAGUGAACAGAUGUCAGAUGCCUGGUAACAGGGUGCAGUGUUGUUUAUACUUCAUUGCUCCUUCAGGACAUGGACCAUUACAUAACUGAAGACUCCCACCUUCAGGCAGGAUUGGGUAGUACGUGUUUGUAACUACCUGGCAUUGCCUUUUGUUGAGGAAGGGUAGAUGUCUACCCAAAUGGAAUAUUGAGUAUCAGAGACUUCAAAUGAUAACUUUUGUUUGUUUGGAGAAAAUCUUGAGGACGUGAUCACUGUACAAAAGCAUGGCAAAAUGAGGAAACCACUGACAGGUGAAGAAUUUGCACAAUGGAAAACCACCUUGACCAUCUCAUGACUUUAUACAGGAAUCGGAGACAUCCAAGGCCAUUCCAUUUCUAAAUCACACUUAUCCCUCAAUCAAGUCAGUGACUGGAUCAUCUCCUAAGGUUUCACCUGCUUUGCAUCAGGGCAGGGUUCCACUCCCAUUGCCCAGGCUGGA